GUCGAGCGACAGAUAAGGAGCUUGCUCCUUUGACGUUAGCGGCGGACGGGUGAGUAACACGUGGGUAACCUACCUAUAAGACUGGAAUAACUCCGGGAAACCGGGGCUAAUGCCGGAUAACAUUUAGAACCGCAUGGUUCUAAAGUGAAAGAUGGUUUUGCUAUCACUUAUAGAUGGACCCGCGCCGUAUUAGCUAGUUGGUAAGGUAACGGCUUACCAAGGCAACGAUACGUAGCCGACCUGAGAGGGUGAUCGGCCACACUGGAACUGAGACACGGUCCAGACUCCUACGGGAGGCAGCAGUAGGGAAUCUUCCGCAAUGGGCGAAAGCCUGACGGAGCAACGCCGCGUGAGUGAUGAAGGUGCUUCGGAUCGUAAAACUCUGUUAUUAGGGAAGAACAAAUGUGUAAGUAACUGUGCACGUCUUGACGGUACCUAAUCAGAAAGCCACGGCUAACUACGUGCCAGCAGCCGCGGUAAUACGUAGGUGGCAAGCGUUAUCCGGAAUUAUUGGGCGUAAAGCGCGCGUAGGCGGUUUCUUAAGUCUGAUGUGAAAGCCCACGGCUCAACCGUGGAGGGUCAUUGGAAACUGGGAAACUUGAGUGCAGAAGAGGAAAGUGGAAUUCCAUGUGUAGCGGUGAAAUGCGCAGAGAUAUGGAGGAACACCAGUGGCGAAGGCGACUUUCUGGUCUGUAACUGACGCUGAUGUGCGAAAGCGUGGGGAUCAAACAGGAUUAGAUACCCUGGUAGUCCACGCCGUAAACGAUGAGUGCUAAGUGUUAGGGGGUUUCCGCCCCUUAGUGCUGCAGCUAACGCAUUAAGCACUCCGCCUGGGGAGUACGACCGCA
rnacentral:rRNA from 1 species